AGCAGCCGCGGUAAUUCCAGCUCCAAUAGCGUAUAUUAAAGUUGUUGCAGUUAAAAAGCUCGUAGUUGAAUUUCGGGACCAAUUUGUUGGUCGUGCCUCGGUACGUACUGGUAUUAUUGGUUUCUCCCUUCUGAAGAACCUCGAUGCCAUUAAUUUGGUGUCGUGGGGAAUCAGGACUGUUACUUUGAAAAAAUUAGGUGUUUAAAGCAAGCAUACGCUUGAAUACAUUAGCACGGAAUAAUGAAAUAGGACGUUUGAUUCUAUUUUGUUGGUUUCUAGGAUCGACGUAAUGAUUAAUAGGGAUAGUUGGGGGCAUUAGUGAUUCAAUUGUCAGAGGUGAAAUUCUUGGAUUUAUUGAAGACUAACUACUGCGAAAGCAUUUGCCAAGGAUGUUUUCAUUAAUCAAGAACGAAAGUUAGGGGAUCGAAGACGAUCAGAUACCGUCGUAGUCUUAACCAUAAACUAUGCCGACUAGGGAUCGGAUGAUGUUAAUUUUUUAAUGACUCAUUCGGCGCCUUAC
rnacentral:misc_RNA from 1 species